rnacentral:tRNA from 1 species
AAGACUCUAGUAAAACAAUUACUCCGCUUUGUCAAGGCGAGGUUGCAAGUGAGAGCCUUGCGUGUCUUU